rnacentral:lncRNA from 1 species
GGUCAAAAGAAAGUGCCACUUUGGAGUUUUAUCAACAACUUGCCUGUGUAGGUGACUAGGUCGUGAUCCGGUAUUUUCUGAAUCCUUAUGUAAGUAAUUACAAAAGAGAUUCUUUCAACAAAGAUGUGAGUUAGGAAGGAUUGGUCGACAAAAUAUAAACCGAAGAUGGAACCUUGAUAUACUCCAGAACAAUAUAUUUUUGUUACCCCGAGAUAUAUUAGAAGCAGCCGAUCAUUUGAUUGAGCUGAAAUUUGGAAUGGGUGCACUUGAUGAUAUGAAUCAUGUGAAAAAUAAAAGCCAGGUGAACUAAGAUGAAGUGCAGAGCAUCCGGUCUACUUUCCUUUGUGUAACAUUAAAAUAAAUAAGGAUAUACUGGAAAAAGUUUAAUAGCAAGACAAAUCCACCCUCCUCCAUGAAGAUGAAAUAAAUUCUACACCAAGAGUAUAAUAGCAAGCUAAGUCCA